rnacentral:rRNA from 1 species
UACAGAGGGUGCGAGCGUUAAUCGGAAUUACUGGGCGUAAAGCGUGCGUAGACGGCUAUCUAAGUCGGGUGUGAAAGCCCCGGGCUCAACCUGGGAAUUGCAUUCGAGACUGAAUAGCUAGGGUACGGUAGAGGGAAGUGGAAUUUCCGGGUGUAGCGGUGAAAUGGCGUAGAUAUCGGAAGGAACAUCAGUGGCGAAAGCGACUUCCAUGGGACCAGUACCGACGUUUCGAGGCCACGAAA